rnacentral:rRNA from 1 species
GAUGAACGCUGGCGGCGUGCCUAAUACAUGCAAGUCGAGCGAACAGACGAGGAGCUUGCUCCUCUGACGUUAGCGGCGGACGGGUGAGUAACACGUGGAUAACCUACCUAUAAGACUGGGAUAACUUCGGGAAACCGGAGCUAAUACCGGAUAAUAUCUUGAACCGUAUGGUUCAAUAGUGAAAGACGGUUUUGCUGUCACUUAUAGCUGGAUCUCCGCCGCAUUAGCUAGUUGGUAAGGUAACGGCCUACCAAGGCAACGAUGCGUAGCCGACGUGAGAGGGUGAUCGGCCACACUGGAACUGAGACACGGUCCAGACUCCUACGGGAGGCAGCAGUAGGGAAUCUUCCGCAAUGGGCGAAAGCCUGACGGAGCAACGCCGCGUGAGUGAUGAAGGUCUUCGGAUCGUAAAACUCUGUUAUUAGGGAAGAACAAAUGUGUAAGUAACUAUGCACGUCUUGACGGUACCUAAUCAGAAAGCCACGGCUAACUACGUG